GGCAUGCAUGUAACCCUCAAGUAAAGAAGUAUCCCUGAUUUCUGUUUCUUGCACAAGACGACUUGCCUUUUAAAAAAAUGUAAUCGGUGCUCUUUAAAUGAAUGAAUCGAGCCGUCUACUCACUGCAGAAAACAUUCAUGUAUAGUAAGCAGGACACGGGACACUUGAGACGCAGUCAUCCCUCUGCCACCGUACCUCCCCCAUCUCAUCUAUAUAAAGCCUUCCAGUCCUGGGGAAGCAGUCGGGGGUGAGGGUGAAGCAGGGAGCAGCAAGCGUUAUUUAUGCUGGUUUUGGGCCUGUACCGCCCAUACGAGGAGGGAAGCAGAACCGGAGCAGCCACCGGUUGGCUCGGUUUCUUUCGACACUACUCCCCAUCCCGGCUGGUGGGCUUUGGUGCUGUGCGUCCUGAGGAGGGGAAGCAGCCCGCUCACGUGAAUGACGAAAGAGCGAAACGCGGCUGUGAUAACAGACCGACAAAAUGUCGCGUCGGGGAUUUAUCUCUUAAGGACGUUAAACCGGUCCGACUGUUCACCUGCUUCAUGGGGCGACGGAAGGAGCGGGAGCGCCGUGCGUCCACGCGGCCACAGGGGGCGGUGAUGUCGGCCAUUAUCCCAAACAGAGGACUCCGUGUUUAAGCGAACAGAGACGUUCUGCGUACUCGGAAAACUCUACGAAAUAACUCAGCGAGGCCUGUUCGCCGUAAAUGUGGCGGCGGGUUGAAUCUCGUGUUGGAUUUUAACCGAUCGAACAGUUUAUUUCCGUGCACGAGAGGCCCCCAAAUCCCCGCGCAUGUUAAAGAUACAUUUGACUGUUUCUGGUGGCAGUUAUAAAUAUAGAAAUCACAGACUCCGACUCCAUUGAUGGUUUAGAGUUUCACAGACGCUACCUACCUCGUAGUGCUUCAUCUUGGCAGUUAGCACCCUUCCUUAAUAUCCCAGAUGAGUGACAGAGCCGCCUCCAAUCAGCGGAGUCGUGUGUGACUGCCGAGGCCAGCAAAGGCGGAACCAACGUUGGUGCCGCAGCCAAUCAAAACGGGCAAUAGCGUAAUGCACGUAGCCAAUGAAAUGAGUGAGCAGACGGAGAGGUCGCCGCAAUGCCAUAGAUACUUAUAAAGGCCCUCCUCUACACAAUAACAUGUCUGUAUUUGCUCUCUUCUGUUUUAACUGCAUGUGUAUGAAGAUUCUGUCUUAUAUAAAUUGUCCGACAAAAAUAAAGCUUGCCAUUUUCCUGUUAUAUUGUCACUUUGUAAUCUCAAUCAAAGAACAACAGUUAUUCCAAGGGAAACCGUCUAGCUAUCAAAUGCUAUUAUUAGUCAGACACACUGACCCAAAUCAGCCACUAUAAUUGUUCCUACAAUUGUGUUUAUUGUACAAUUUGAUUACAUAAAGAGGGAGGUGUGCAAGUUAAAACUAUGAAUUGAUACCCACGAAUAUACAAAAGUAAGGGAGAUAACUAGGAAUUAUGGCGUUUCCAACAGAAUAUUGUAUGAUAUCCACCUUAAAAUCCAGUUCAGCUUAUUUGUGGGUCUUUGAAAGUGUUUGCACUUAUAUUUUAAAUAUCAAAUACCAACGCCUCUCAUCCUCGAAAAAACUGAUUUGCUUCACUUGUCAGGCAGAGACUGAGCUGCUACUCCUACUGCAGUCACUGUGUGUGAGUUAUACAAAGCCAUGUUUAAGGACAUAAAAGGAAAUGAAAUGGGAUCUUUGUCCAAUAAAACCAUUUUCGGUGCAUCUGAACGUGGUACCCAUCCUGAACUGUGAAA